UCAUAGACGCGAAACCUAGUGAUCUAGGCCUGUCCAGGCUGAAGCUGAGGUAAGACUCAGUGGAGGGCCGAACUCACCGCCGUUGAAAAGUUGGGAGAUGAGACAGGUCUAGGGGUGAAAAGCCAAUCGAACUAGGAGAUAGCUCGUUCUCUCCGAAAUGCAUUUAGGUGCAGCCUUGAACUGAGAUAUGUGGGGGUAGAGCUCUGUAUGAUCUAGGGGGCGUACUGCUUACCGAAAUCAAGCAAACUGCGAAUACCAUAUAUUAUGUUCAGGAGUGAGUCCGUGGAUGACAAGGUCCUCGGACGAGAGGGGAACAGCCCAGACCGCCAGCUAAGGUCCCUAAUUAUGUCUAAGUGGGAAAGGAGGUGGACAUUCAUAGACAACCAGGAGGUUGGCUUAGAAGCAGCCAUGCCUUGAAAGAGUGCGUAAUAGCUCACUGGUCGAGAGUGCCUGCGCCGAAGAUGUAACGGGGCUAAGACAUAAACCGAAGCUGCGGAAGAUACACCGUAUCUUGGUAGGAGAGCGUUCUGUAGGCCGUCGAAGGGAUGCCGCAAGGCCGUCCUGGAGGUAUCAGAAGCGAGAAUGCAGGAAUGAGUAGCGAGAAGGCGGGCGAGAAUCCCGCCGGCCGGAAGUCCAAGGUUUCCAGGGGAAGGCUUGUCCGCCCUGGGGAAGUCGGGACCUAAGCAUAAGCAAAAUUGUGAUGGCGAAUGGAAAACAGGUUAAUAUUCCUGUACCGCUGUUAUCGCUUGAGAGACGGAGUGACGCAGGAAGGUAUGCGAGAAGGCUGACGGUUUAGCCUUUCUAAGGGCCCAGCGUGGGCGUGCAGGUAAAUCCGCACGCCUAAACGUGAGACCUGACGGGGAAGUGCAUUUGCAUAAGUCGCAGAUCCUACACUGCCAAGAAAAACUUCUAUCGAUGAGAAGCAGCGCCCGUACUGUAAACCGACACAGGUGGACAGAGUGAGAAACUUAAGGCCGACAGGAUAACUCUAGCUAAGGAACUCUGCAAAAUAGCCCCGUAACUUCGGGAGAAGGGGUGCCUGACAUACCUGAAGGAGAGAAGCGCUCCCAGGGGAAACAGGCCGCAGUGAAGAGUCUCAAGCAACUGUUUACCAAAAACACAGGUCUAUGCUAAGCUGAAAGGCGACGUAUAUGGGCUGACACCUGCCCAGUGCCGGAAGGUUAAGAGGAGGAGUGAGAGCUCCGAUUUGAAGCCCCGGUGAACGGCGGCCGUAACUAUAACGGUCCUAAGGUAGCGAAAUUCCUUGUCGGGUAAGUUCCGACCUGCACGAAUGGUGAAAUGAUUUGAGAGCUGUCUUGGCUGGAGACCUGGUGAAGUUGUAAUGCCGGUGAAGAUACCGGCUACCUGCAGUAGGACGGAAAGACCCCGUGGAGCUUUACUGUAGCUUGGCAUUGGGUUCUGGCAAUGUGUGUAUAGGAUAGUUGGGAGACUAUGAUGUGAUGGCGUCAGCCAUUGCUGAGUCGCUGUUGGAAUACCAACCAUAUGCUGUCGGAAUUCUAAUCUGGCAACGGAGACAGUGCUAGGUGGGCAGUUUGACUGGGGCGGUCGCCUCCCAAAGAGUAACGGAGGCGUUCAAAGGUUCCCUCAGGCUGGAUGGAAAUCAGCCUAAGAGUGCAAACGCAUAAGGGAGCUUGACUGCAAGACUGACGGGUCGAGCAGGUACGAAAGUAGGAGUUAGUGAUCCGGCGGUUCCGCAUGGAAGGACCGUCGCUCAACGGAUAAAAGCUACCCCGGGGAUAACAGGCUGAUACUUCCCAAGAGUCCAUAUCGACGGAAGUGUUUGGCACCUCGAUGUCGGCUCGUCUCAUCCUGGGGCUGGAGAAGGUCCCAAGGGUUGGGCUGUUCGCCCAUUAAAGAGGCACGCGAGCUGGGUUCAGAACGUCGUGAGACAGUUCGGUCCCUAUCCACUGCAGGCG
rnacentral:rRNA from 1 species